AACGAACGCUGGCGGCGCGCCUAAUACAUGCAAGUCGAGCGAGAAGACGUAGCAAUACGUUUGUAAAGCGGCGAACGGGUGAGGAAUACAUGGGUAACCUACCCUCGAGUGGGAAUAACUAGCCGAAAGGUUAGCUAAUACCGCGUACGCUCCUUGGACUUCGGUUCAGGGAGGAAAGCGAUAUCGUGGGUAUCGCGCUCUUGGAUGGGCUCAUGUCCUAUCAGCUUGUUGGUGAGGUAACGGCUCACCAAGGCUUCGACGGGUAGCUGGUCUGAGAGGACGAUCAGCCACACUGGCACUGCGACACGGGCCAGACUCCUACGGGAGGCAGCAGUAAGGAAUAUUGCGCAAUGGGACGAAAGCCUGACGCAGCGACGCCGC
rnacentral:rRNA from 1 species